UUUUUUUUUUUUUUUUUUACAAGGUGUCCGGGCUUGCGUCCGACUAGAUCCUUGUCCCUGAACCUCCGACCCCUCUGCAGCUCAGGGAGGUAAAUCGCAGGAUGUGCCCUUGUUGGCUCCCAAGUUCCCACAACUCAUUUGGACUCCUUCCGCAAAGAGAGCUCUCCUCACUGGGCGUUUGUUCACACCAAUGGCUUCCUUUCCAUAUGGCUCCUAGUGUUAACUCCAGGAAUCGAACUCCCCACGCUUGCUUCCAGCGUCCCAGCGAA
rnacentral:lncRNA from 1 species